ensembl:lncRNA
AGGAGAUGCCUGCAAGCACUUUGGCUCCUUGGUGGGAUUGCUGGUGCCUCUGACGUGUGACCCCAUGCCCACCUCCCGCCAGUUGGCUGUCACCUGUCUGAGCUCCCUUCUCCGAAUCCAAGCCAAGGCGACCAACAGAGUCAUCCAGACAGGAGACAUCGGGAGCCUGUGUGAGGGGCUGAAUGACCGCAGCACCGUCUGUCAGCUCCAGACCUCGUCCAAAAUCGCGCGGAUUGUAUGCAGAAGCUUCUCCCUGGAACACACCAUAGAUUUCAUGAUGGCCAUCAAGGACACCUUCCGGAAGGCCAAAGGAAUGCGUGUGCGUGCUGCUGGGAAGUGGAUGAUCACCUUUCUGCAGAUGCAUGGAAAGGAC